GUGCACCUCCUGCCGCCUCUGUUCCCCCGGGGCCGUCCUCCCCCAAAUCUGCCGCUCUGAGCCCCCUGCACACCCCGCCCACCUGUGAAGUUGGAGCCGGACUUGAACUCACUGCUUCUCCCUCCCUCCCUUCUCCCCUCGUUUUGGAAGUUUCUGCCUCCCCUGAACUUAGCAAUGGCACUUCUAUGUGUCCUGGCCUGUUCUCCAAAUUGCUGAGACCCCUGCCGCCAAACCUGCCUCGCGCCUGGGUUUAGGAAGCCUGCGGGGCACCCAGCACGGGUGGGCACCGCCCUGACUGACCACGGCUCCCUGGUUAUAACCCGUCCUGUGUUCUCCACGCUGAAGAGCUCAGGUCUGAAGCGGUUUCCCGGCUGUUAGCCUUGCUCGGAAGAACACCUGGAAAGGAACGGCUCCUUAGACCCCAGGAUGUAAGAGGACAGCUGGACAUGGCCAGCCAGGAUGGGUGCCAGAGGAGCAGGUUCUUGCCAUCUGUCGGGGUGGCUGACUCCUGCUGUGGUUCCAUUUCUCAGCUGACAGAGCAUCUGACCAGGGAAUUUAUGCUGCUCGCACAACACAGAAAUCGCUGAGAGAGGC
rnacentral:lncRNA from 1 species